GAAACGUUAUUCAAAUCUUCGAUCAUCUAAUCGAGCUGUUAGAUUUGAUCAACUGUUAACCAGUGACCAGUUUCUCAAACGUCGAUCAUCUUAAAAUUAUAUGAUCGUAGAAAAUCGAUUAUCUGACAUACGAUUUGGUAUCGAUACUGUCACAAUCGGCUGUCAUCCUUCAAAAUUUCAUUUUAUAACCAAAAAAUUUCAAUCCAUAGUAAAUAACUACAUAAUUUAUAAAAUUAAAAAAUAUAUUAAAAAUGAGCAAUACCAACGGAAAUCCUCAACGCAAAAAUUAUACUGAGAGAGAGAAAUGUUUGCUGUUGGAAAUAUGUAAUUGGAAAAUACAACCAUAUUAUAAUUGAAAACAAAUAAUGUACCAAUGCUAUGUCCACCAACCAAAACAAUGAAACCUGGGAAAAAAUAGCACUGGAAUUUAAUGCCAGCGCUGAAUUUCCCAGAACUCCCAAGUAGCUGAACACUGAAAAGUAGCAGAGGAAAAUAUUCAAAAAUAUAAUGAGCAGAAGGUUUUGGACCAUUUGAAGAGAGACCAAACUGCGG